rnacentral:rRNA from 1 species
AACGAACGCUGGCGGCAUGCCUAACACAUGCAAGUCGAACGAGACCUUCGGGUCUAGUGGCGCACGGGUGCGUAACGCGUGGGAACCUGCCCUUAGGUUCGGAAUAACUCCCCGAAAGGGGUGCUAAUACCGGAUAAUUUCUUCGGACCAAAGAUUUAUCGCCUUUGGAUGGGCCCGCGUUGGAUUAGCUAGUUGGUAGGGUAAAAGCCUACCAAGGCGACGAUCCAUAGCUGGUCUGAGAGGAUGAUCAGCCACACUGGGACUGAGACACGGCCCAGACUACUACGGGAGGCAGCAGUGGGGAAUAUUGGAAAAUGGGCGAAAGCAUGAACCAGCAAUGCCGCGUGAGUGAUGAAGGCCUUAGGGUAGUAAAGCUCUUUUACCCGGGAUGAUAAUGACAGUACCGGGAGAAUAAGCUCCGGCUAACUCCGUG